AUUGAACGCUGGCGGCAUGCCUUACACAUGCAAGUCGAACGGCAGCACGGGGGCAACCCUGGUGGCGAGUGGCGAACGGGUGAGUAAUGCAUCGGAACGUGCCAUUGAGUGGGGGAUAACGUAGCGAAAGUUGCGCUAAUACCGCAUAUUCUGUGAGCAGGAAAGCAGGGGACCGCAAGGCCUUGCGCUAUUUGAGCGGCCGAUGUCAGAUUAGCUAGUUGGUGAGGUAACGGCUUACCAAGGCGACGAUCCGUAGCUGGUCUGAGAGGACGACCAGCCACACUGGAACUGAGACACGGUCCAGACUCCUACGGGAGGCAGCAGUGGGGAAUUUUUGGACAAUGGGCGCAAGCCUGAUCCAGCCAUGCCGCGUGAGUGAAGAAGGCCU
rnacentral:rRNA from 1 species